rnacentral:rRNA from 1 species
AGCGAACGCUGGCGGCAGGCUUAACACAUGCAAGUCGAGCGGGCGUAGCAAUACGUCAGCGGCAGACGGGUGAGUAACGCGUGGGAACGUACCUUUUGGUUCGGAACAACCCAGGGAAACUUGGGCUAAUACCGGAUAAGCCCUUACGGGGAAAGAUUUAUCGCCAAAAGAUCGGCCCGCGUCUGAUUAGCUUGUUGGUGAGGUAACGGCUCACCAAGGCGACGAUCAGUAGCUGGUCUGAGAGGAUGAUCAGCCACAUUGGGACUGAGACACGGCCCAAACUCCUACGGGAGGCAGCAGUGGGGAAUAUUGGACAAUGGGCGCAAGCCUGAUCCAGCCAUGCCGCGUGAGUGAUGAGGCCCUAGGGUUGUAAAGCUCUUUUGUGCGGGAAGAUAAUGACUGUACCGCAAGAAUAAGCCCCGGCCUAACUUCGUGCCAGCAGCCGCGGUAAG